AGCUUUGCACAGUGGCAGUAUCGCAGCCCAUGAGGUUUAUCCGAGGCACGAUUAUUGUUAAUUGAAAUCAUACUGAAGUUCAGUAUGAUCUAUGUCUUCACUGUCUGAUACCUUUUAUUUUGUUUUUGCUGCUGCUGAUGUCAAUCUAUUUUCUAAUAACAAAUUAUUUUU
rnacentral:snRNA from 1 species